rnacentral:lncRNA from 1 species
UAAUUUGCUGUCUGGCACUUGUCUUUAUAUUGUAAGAUGUAAUAAGCUACUGCUGUUUGUUUUGUAGAAUUUGGAAAUGUGUUGACACAUUUGUGUGAUGGCACUCACAAUGUUGAGAUGACACUAUGAUACAAACAUAAGUUCAAGCCAGACGGAAGCCCUGGAGGAUGCUAAUGCAGCACUGCAAUAUGCUAAGUGCUGUUGCAGCAUCUGUUUCCUUCUUUGAGCUUCAUGAAGAUUGAGAACCUGGGGAAUAAGUGACUGCCAUUGCCAUUUUACCUUUAAGGAUCAUUUCACUAUGCUCACACAUUAAAGGUUUGUUUGCUUUCAGAAAGCAUUAGCCCUCAUUAAAUAGGAAUGUAUGAAAUCUGGUGUAAAUAAGCUUAAUUGGUAUGAAGGCUUGAUUGGAUUUGGGGAAGAGGUGUAGAUAUUGCCUUCUGAUGUACUUUCUAAAGAAGCCUGGCAGGGUAGCCUCAGUGGAGAGAGCUCUUAAGCAGGAAUCUGAGG